AAUGGGAGCGGCAGACGGGUGAGUAACACGUGGGGAUCUACCCAAUGGUACGGAAUAACCCAGGGAAACUUGGAUUAAUACCGUAUGUGCCCUUCGGGGGAAAGAUUUAUCGCCAUUGGAUGAACCCGCGUCGGAUUAGCUAGUUGGUGAGGUAAAGGCUCACCAAGGCGACGAUCCGUAGCUGGUCUGAGAGGAUGAUCAGCCACACUGGGACUGAGACACGGCCCAGACUCCUACGGGAGGCAGCAGUGGGGAAUAUUGGACAAUGGGCGCAAGCCUGAUCCAGCCAUGCCGCGUGUGUGAUGAAGGCCUUAGGGUUGUAAAGCACUUUCGCCGGUGAAGAUAAUGACGGUAACCGGAGAAGAAGCCCCGGCUAACUUCGUGCCAGCAGCCGCGGUAAUACGAAGGGGGCUAGCGUUGCUCGGAAUCACUGGGCGUAAAGCGCACGUAGGCGGAUCGUUAAGUCAGGGGUGAAAUCCUGGAGCUCAACUCCAGAACUGCCCUUGAUACUGGCGAUCUCGAGUUCGAGAGAGGUUGGUGGAACUCCGAGUGUAGAGGUGAAAUUCGUAG
rnacentral:rRNA from 1 species